GUGAUUUUCUGUUUCACUAAUGUCUACUAACUAGGAUAAGAAGAUUCUGAAGGUAUACAAACCUGAUAGUUCCAUGGACAGUAAUGAUGAAACUGUUGUUGGGCUGGCAUUAGACGCUGCAGUAGUUGAUGCGGAAGCCCCUUUGAUUCCUUCGCCACACCUGUUUCUAACUAUAAUUGAAGUGUGAUUCUCUGAUUCACUAAUGUCUACUAAUUAGGGUAAGAAGAUUCUGAACGUAUACAAACCUGAUGGUUCAUGGACAGUCUUGAAGCUGUUAUCGGGCUAGCCUCAGAAGCUGCAGUAGUUAAUGAGGACGCCCCUUUGAUUCCUUCAUCAGCCUCUUGUAUGUUACCUGGACACAAACACGGCGGUGGUUUGAAUAGCAGUUGGCCAUGAUUUUCAAAAGUUUUGAGUUGGUUUAGGUAUCGAAUUUCGUCCCAGAUUGACCAUCCUAUCAUAUCCCCCUGAAGAGUUUGAAAGAGGUGCAUAUGCUGAUAAACUACGAAAAGGAACUUCUUUAGAAGCUCUGUCGAUUCCUUUUGUACUCACCUUUUCUAUACGAAUUGGCUAGUUGCAUGGAAAGCUUGUUUCAUGAGACACUUUGAGGUGAAAUAGACAAAG